CAGGCCUAACACAUGCAAGUCGAGCGCCGUAGCAAUACGGAGCGGCAGACGGGAGAGUAACACGUGGGAACGUACCCUUCAGUUCGGAAUAACCCAGGGAAACUUGGACUAAUACCGAAUACGUCCGUAAGGAGAAAGAUUUAUCGCUGAAGGAUCGGCCCGCGGCUGAUUAGCUAGUUGGUGAGGUAACGGCUCACCAAGGCGACGAUCGGUAGCUGGUCUGAGAGGAUGAUCAGCCUCACUGGGACUGAGACACGGCCCAGACUCCUACGGGAGGCAGCAGUGGGGAAUAUUGGACAAUGGGCGCAAGCCUGAUCCAGCCAUGCCGCGUGGGUGAUGAAGGCCCUAGGGUUGUAAAGCCCUUUCGGCGGGGAAGAUAAUGACGGUACCCGCAGAAGAAGCCCCGGCUAACUUCGUGCCAGCAGCCGCGGUAAUACC
rnacentral:rRNA from 1 species